UUUAUAUAUUAAUAUUUCUUGAAUCAAUAUCAUUAGUUUGAACUUAAGCUACAUAAUAAACUGAUCCAUUUUUCUAUAUGCUCAAGAUGGAAAUGAAUUUGAUUUCAUGAAAAAAGGGAGGAUUCUAGUUCAUUUGAACAAGAAUCACAAUUUUGCAGCUUGUAGAAAUCGUGUUCUAGCCUAAAUAUAAUUUCGAUCUUAGUUUCACAAAUUAAAUAUUAAAAUUUAAAAUUUGACUUCUAAAAUUUGAUUUCAUUCGAAAUGUGAGCCUCCUUCCUAGGAAUGGUGUCCAAGAGAUUUCAAUCUGGAAAGAUACAAGACACCCUACACCCAUGGAUGAAUAUCUCAACUAUGAGACUCAACAUCUCUCCCUCUUAUCUAUCGGCUACCAGAACCUCCGGCGCCGUCGACUGCUCUUUUUCUCUCUCAUCCCCGAACUGGGCCUGGGUGUCUUGGUUUUUCUCGUCCCCUUCGCCCCACUGGCCGCUGCCGCCUGAAAGAUAUCCCUUUAAAGUCCAAGGUUUACAGACACAAAAUGUAUGUGGAAAUGCCUCAAAACUGUUCGAUAAAAUGCCUGAAUUAUACAUGAAUGGUGUCCAAGAGAUUUCAAUCUGGAAAGAUACGAGACACCCUACACCCAUGGAUGAAUAUCUCAACUAUGAGACUCAACAUCUCUCCCUCUUAUCUAUCGGCUACCAGAACCUCCGCCGCCGUCGACUGCUCUUUUUCUCUCUCAUCCCCGAACUGGGCCUGGGUGUCUUGGUUUUUCUCGUCCCCUUCACCCCACUGGCCGCUGCCGCCUGAAAGAUAUCCCUUUAAAGUCCAAGGUUUACAGACACAAAAUGUAUGUGGAAAUGCCUCAAAACUGUUCGUCAAAAUGCCUGAAUCAUAAAUGUAAGUCUUAAAUCGUGUAAUUUAUUUUGUAAGAAAAAUAUUUUUCUGUUUUUGGUUUGACUUAGAAGGAAUGAAUCAAAACAGUUUGUUUAAAUGCCUCAAAA